ACGAUGAGCACUAGGUGUUGGAGGGAAAACCUUCAGUGCCGCAGUUAACGCAAUAAGUGCUCCGCCUGGGGAGUACGCACGCAAGUGUAAAACUCAAAGGAAUUGACGGGGACCCGCACAAGCAGCGGAGCAUGUGGUUUAAUUCGAAGCAACGCGAAGAACCUUACCAGGACUUGACAUCCUCCCGACGUACAUUUAACAGUGUAUUUCUUUUAGACGGGAGAGACAGGUGGUGCAUGGCUGUCGUCAG
rnacentral:rRNA from 1 species